UGAAUGAUGAAAUUCUUCGGAAUGUAAAAUUCUGUUGUGAGGGAAGAAAGGUAGUAUCAGGAAAUGGGUAUUACUUGACGGUACCUUACUAGAAAGCCCCGGCUAACUAUGUGCCAGCAGCCGCGGUAAUACAUAGGGGGCGAGCGUUAUCCGGAAUUAUUGGGCGUAAAGCGUGCGUAGGUGGCCGUUUAAGUCUGUCGUGAAAGCCCACAGCUUAACUGUGGAGGGUCGAUGGAAACUGGAUGGCUUGAAUCUAGAAGAGGUAAGUGGAAUUCCAUGUGUAGCGGUAAAAUGCUUAGAUAUAUGGAGGAACACCAGUGGCGAAGGCGGCUUACUGGUCUAGCAUUGACGCUGAGGCACGAAAGCGUAGGUAGCAAACAGGAUUAGAUACCCUGGUAGUCUACGCUGUAAACGAUGAGCACUAAGUGUCGGACGUAAGUUCGGUGCUGUAGUUAACGCAUUAAGUGCUCCGCCUGGGGAGUACGGUCGCAAGACUGAAACUCAAAGGAAUUGACGGGGACUCGCACAAGCGGUGGAGCAUGUGGUUUAAUUCGACGCAACGCGAAAAACCUUACCAGGCCUUGACAUCCCUAUGACCGCUCUAGAGAUAGAGUUUCCUCUUCGGAGGUAUAGGUGACAGGUGGUGCAUGGUUGUCGUCAGCUCGUGUCGUGAGAUGUUGGGUUAAGUCCCGCAACGAGCGCAACCCUUAUCAUUAGUUGCUAACAUUAAGUUGAGCACUCUAAUGAGACUGCCAGCGACAAGUUGGAGGAAGGUGGGGACGACGUCAAAUCAUCAUGCCCCUUAUGGCCUGGGCUACACACGUGCUACAAUGGCCGGUACAAAGAGCAGCGAAAUUGUGAAAUGGAGCAAAUCUCAAAAAGCCGGUCUCAGUUCGGACUGCAGUCUGCAACUCGACUACAUGAAGUUGGAAUCGCUAGUAAUCGUGGAUCAGCAUGCCACGGUGAAUACGUUCUCGAGUCUUGUACACACCGCCCGUCACACCAUGAGAGUUUGUAAUACCCGAAGCCGGUGGCUUAACCGCAAGGAGAGAGCCGUCUAAGGUAGGACAGAUGAUUGGGGUGAAGUCGUAACAAGGUAUCCCUACGAGAACGUGGGGAUG
rnacentral:rRNA from 1 species